rnacentral:misc_RNA from 1 species
AUUUUGACAAUUUUGACUUGAACAAAAAUGGGAGGAAAAAUGCUAAUUAAUUAAUUAGUAUUUAGAAUACUAAUUAAUCAAGUUUUAAUUUUCUUAAUUAAGAUUAAGGUAUGACAAAUGGACCAAUCAUAUGAUGAGAACACAUUCAAAGGUUGAAUGGUUGUUGGACACUUGUCAAUUUAAUUUUAAUUAAGUAAAUUAAAGUGAAUAAAAGGAAAAUGGAAGAAGACAAAUUUAAUAUUCUUCCCCUUCCUUCUUGGCCGACUCAUUCCUCUCACUAUAGAAAACAAUUCCUCUUCCUUCUUCCUUGCUUGAUUCAAGAAUAUUAAGUGUUAAUACUCUUGAAUUUCAAGUUGAGAAAGUGUUUCUCAUCUCUUCCAUAAAAGGAAAACCAAGAAAAACCAAUCCCUUGCUUCUUUCCAUCUUGGCCGAUUCACUUAGAGAAGAGUUCAAGAAGUUUUCUUGAUCCAAAGGUGCUUUGAUCCAGGGGCACUUAGAGAAGAGUUCAAGAAGUUUUCUUGAUCCAAAGGUGCUUUGAUCCAGGGG